CGUGGGCCACAGCCACUGCUGGUUGGGUUUGGAAUUUGGGCAUCUCCCUGCCACUGUCCCCAUUGGGGUGUGGAUGCCGUGCCGCCCCUGACACCUUGACACUCUUGGCUCUAGAGAGCUUCUUCCGGAUGCGCCCACCUGGGGCGGCCUCUUUGCGCUGGAAGGCACUGAGGCUGGCUGGCAGCCCCUUGCUCUUGACCUUUGGCUUCAACUGGGCCACCUUGUGGGCCAUUGAGGAUGACAACUCGGCUGGGCCACAGCUCUUCUUGCACCGCACCUUCUCCUGUGAAUGGAAGUGUCAACCACAGAUGCGGUCCCCUCCUCAGCCUCGGCCCCCUGCCUCAGCCCAGGGCCUGUAGGUUUCCCCUGUCAUGGUGGGACCCAGAAAACAGCACCGCUGGGGACAUCUGGCCUUGGCUGCUUACUGGAGGAAACACCGAACCUGUCUACUUAGCACCCCCUCCACCCACAUAUAAACUUUAUAUGAUAGAAUGGGUGGGGGCCCAGGAGCCAGAAGGUUCUGUUUAUCACGGGUACAUUUGCUGUUUGCUUUUGUGAAAUGGAAAGGCUAAAAAGAAGAGUUCCCUAGGCAGAA
rnacentral:lncRNA from 1 species